CUAUGCCCUAGGGCUAGUGGAAGACUUAAGAUGGCGGCGUUUGCACGGAGUGCAAUCACUGCGUCCUUACGGGGGUUGCAAGGCGUCCGAAGUAUGAGUCCAGUAACAAAAGGCCAGAAACUCGCCAGUUAAUAGUAUUGUGUCUCUUCAAAAUAUCGGAGAAUAAUUUCUUUCUCGCUGAUCGCCUAACUUCUACUGACGAAGCUAGGAAGUUGCAGAAGAUGGAGUUCGCUCUUGUUGCCCAGGCUGGAAUGCAAUGGCAUGACCUUGGCUCACUGCAACCUCUGCCUCCCCAGUUCAAGUGAUUCUCCUGCCUCAGCCUCCCGAGUAGCUGGGAUUAUAGGUACUGGCUCCUGUAUCACCCAGCUCUGGAGUUGAAAGAGCUCUUCAUUCCUGAGUCUCCUGUACCACUGAGAAUAGGCUGGAGUGCAGUGGCGCAAUCUCGGCUCUCUGCAACCUUCACCUCCUGCGUUCAAGUGAUUCUCCUGCCUCAGCCUCCUGAAUACCUGAGAUUACAAGCAUGCACCACCAUGCCCGUCUAAUUUUGUAUUUUCACUAGAGAUGGGGUUUCUCCAUGUUGG
rnacentral:lncRNA from 1 species